ensembl:rRNA 5S_rRNA 5S ribosomal RNA
GCCAGCAGCUAGCUCUCUGCAACUCUCACAUGGUCUCCCACUGAAGCUAAGUAGGGAUUCGUCAGGUAAGUACCUGAAUGGGAGACCACAUGGGAAAGCUAGAUUGCUGCCGGGG